GCCCGGUUAGCUCAGUUGGUAGAGCGCGAGGCUUUUACGCUUGAAACCUUGAGGUCGUGGGUUCGACCCCCACAUCGGGCG